UGGGGAAUAUUGCACAAUGGGCGAAAGCCUGAUGCAGCGACGCCGCGUGAGGGAUGACGGCCUUCGGGUUGUAAACCUCUUUCAGUAGGGACGAAGCGCAAGUGACGGUACCUGCAGAAGAAGCACCGGCUAACUACGUGCCAGCAGCCGCGGUAAUACGUAGGGUGCGAGCGUUGUCCGGAAUUACUGGGCGUAAAGAGCUCGUAGGCGGUUUGUCACGUCGUCUGGGAAAUCCUAGGGCUUAACCCUGGACGUGCAGGCGAUACGGGCUGACUUGAGUACUACAGGGGAGACUGGAAUUUCUGGUGUAGCGGUGGAAUGCACAGAUAUCAGGAAGAACACCGAUGGCGAAGGCAGGUCUCUGGGUAGUAACUGACGCUGAGGAGCGAAAGCAUGGGUAGCGAACAGG
rnacentral:rRNA from 1 species